rnacentral:rRNA from 1 species
AGUGAACGCUGGCGGUAGGCCUAACACAUGCCAGUCGAACGGCAGCACAGUAAGAGCUUGCUCUUACGGGUGGCGAGUGGCGGACGGGUGAGGAAUACAUCUGAAUCUACUUUUUCGUGGGGGAUAACGUAGGGAAACUUACGCUAAUACCGCAUACGACCUACGGGUGAAAGCAGUGGAUCUUCGGACCUUGCGCGAUUGAAUGAGCCGAUGUCGGAUUAGCUAGUUGGCGGGGUAAAGGCCCACCAAGGCGACGAUCCGUAGCUGGUCUGAGAGGAUGAUCAGCCACACUGGAACUGAGACACGGUCCAGACUCCUACGGGAGGCAGCAGUGGGGAAUAUUGGACAAUGGGCGCAAGCCUGAUCCAGCCAUACCGCGUGGGUGAAGAAGGCCUUCGGGUUGUAAAGCCCUUUUGUUGGGAAAGAAAAGCAGCAGGUUAAUACCCCGCUGUUCUGACGGUACCCAAAGAAUAAGCACCGGCUAACUUCGUG